UUUCUCGAAAUUCCAAAGAGCAUGCACGCCAAAAUUCUGUUUUGUCCCUUCGUGAUGCUCCUGAAGAAUGCUUUCAUUUUAAAAUUGAAAGCUUAAAAAGAACAUGGUUCCAUGUGCACUUUGCCCCACGCCACUAUUUAAAAAUCAACAACUACAACUGCAACAACCCAGUAUAAUCCCACUUAGUGGGGUCUGGGGGAGGGUAGUGUGUACGCAGACCUUAACCCUACCAUUGGGUAGAGAGGCUGUUUCCAAAUAGACCUCCGGCAUCCUUCCCUCCAA
rnacentral:lncRNA from 1 species